GCAUCGUCCAAGGUCCUGUUUCUGUCAACGGGCGAACACCAAAAUGUAAACAACAAAUCAAACCUAGAAUUCAAAUAGGACAACGGUAAUUCUAGAUCAAAGGGAAAACACAUCAAGGUGGAGACGUGGAAAGUCUUUCAUGUACCUUACGCUCGGGAUCGUUAACUAUUGGAAUUCUACCCUGGUAAAAGAUGGAUUGAUCUGAAGUAGCGGUGAUAAGCAUCAGCUGCUCGGAGUUCGAUAUACGGGGCCAAGUAAUGCAACCUCCUGACAAUUUUUCUAUCGGCUAGAUCUAUUGAAAAGGUCGUUUUGGGUUUUGGUGUGAUACUGUGAAUAUGUUGGACUUCCACAAGAUUACGACUGAAGUUUUACCUCUCUUGAUUGAAUAUAGUGAUUUGUAAGUUAUUACAUCGUGAAGUGUAAUUAUUGUGAGUGAAAUAAAGAGUCAUAGAAAUU
rnacentral:lncRNA from 1 species